rnacentral:rRNA from 1 species
AAGGAAUAUUGGUCAAUGGACGAAAGUCUGAACCAGCUAUGCCGCGUGAAGGAUUAAGGUCCUCUGGAUUGUAAACUUCUUUUAUCUGGGACGAAAAAAGGUCUUUCUAGAUCACUUGACGGUACCAAAUGAAUAAGCACCGGCUAACUCCGUGCCAGCAGCCGCGGUAAUACGGAGGGUGCAAGCGUUAUCCGGAUUCACUGGGUUUAAAGGGUGCGUAGGCGGGCAGGUAAGUCAGUGGUGAAAUCCUGGAGCUCAACUCCAGAACUGCCAUUGAUACUAUCUGUCUUGAAUAUUGUGGAGGUAAGCGGAAUAUGUCAUGUAGCGGUGAAAUGCUUAGAUAUGACAUAGAACACCCAUUGCGAAGGCAGCUUACUACGCAUAUAUUGACGCUGAGGCACGAAAGCGUGGGGAUCAAACAGGA